AUUGAACGCUGGCGGCAGGCCUAACACAUGCAAGUCGAGCGGAUGAAGGGAGCUUGCUCCUGGAUUCAGCGGCGGACGGGCGAGUAAUGCCUAGGAAUCUGCCUGGUAGUGGGGGCUAACGUCCGGAAACGGGCGCUAAUACCGCAUACGUCCUGAGGUAGAACGUGGGGGAUCUUCGGACCUCACGCUAUCAGAUGAGCCUAGGUCGGAUUAGCUAGUUGGUGGGGUAAAGGCCUACCAAGGCGACGAUCCGUAACUGGUCUGAGAGGAUGAUCAGUCACACUGGAACUGAGACACGGUCCAGACUCCUACGGGAGGCAGCAGUAGGGAAUAUUGGACAAUGGGCGAAAGCCUGAUCCAGCCAUGCCGCGUGUGUGAAGAAGGUCUUCGGAUUGUAAAGCACUUUAAGUUGGGAGGAAGGGCAGUAAGUUAAUACCUUGCUGUUUUGACGGUACCAACAGAAUAAGCACCGGCUAACUUCGUG
rnacentral:rRNA from 1 species